rnacentral:rRNA from 1 species
CAGUAGCCGCGGUAAUACGUAGGGCGCAAGCGUUGUCCGGAAUUAUUGGGCGUAAAGAGCUCGUAGGCGGUCUGUCGCGUCUGGUGUGAAAUCCCGAGGCUCAACCUCGGGCUUGCAUCGGGUACGGGCAGACUAGAGUGCGGUAGGGGAGACUGGAAUUCCUGGUGUAGCGGUGGAAUGCGCAGAUAUCAGGAGGAACACCGAUGGCGAAGGCAGGUCUCUGGGCCGCAACUGACGCUGAGGAGCGAAAGCAUGGGGAGCGAACAGGAUUAGAUACCCCAGUAGUCCCUGUCUUUUAUAA